AUUGGAUGAGCCCGCGGCCUAUCAGCUUGUUGGCGGGGUAACGGCCCACCAAGGCGACGACAGGUAGCUGGUCUGAGAGGACGACCAGCCACACUGGGACCGAGACACGGCCCAGACUCCUACGGGAGGCAGCAGUAGGGAAUAUUGCGCCAAUGCGCGAAAGCGUGACGCAGCGACGCCGCGUGGGGGAUGAAGGCCCUCGGGUUGUAAACCGCUUUCGGCAGGGACGAAGCGAAAGUGACGGUACCUGCAGAAGAAGGUCCGGCUAACUACGUGCCAGCAGCCGCGGCCGAU
rnacentral:rRNA from 1 species